rnacentral:rRNA from 1 species
UACGGAGGGUGCGAGCGUUGUCCGGAAUCACUGGGCGGAAAGGGCGCGUAGGUGGCGCGAUGAGUCAACGGUGAAAGCUCGACGCUCAACGUCGAGUCGGCCGUCGAUACUGUCGCGCUCGAGCACUGUAGGGGCAGAUGGAAUUCCGGGUGUAGCGGUGGAAUGCGUAGAGAUCCGGAAGAACACCGGUGGCGAAGGCGGUCUGCUGGGCAGUUGCUGACACUGAUGCGCGAAAGCGUGGGGAGCAAACGGG